AUGGGAUGUGUCGCCAGGGUCCCGAGGCCGCCCCGCGGGGAGGGCGUUUGCACCAUUUCAUCCGGCUCCGAGCGCCUCCGGGGGGCCUUUGACCUUGCUGUCUCCUCUGCCUGGAACACUCUUCCCCAGAGGCUGGUAUGGCUGGCACCAUCUCCUCCUUCAGGAAAAAAAAAAAAAAGAUGGAGGAAGGGAAUGAGCCAAGGAGUGGGGGCCACCUCUCAAAAGUGGAAGAAGUAAGGAAACAGACUUCCUGGAGCCUCCAGAGGGAACUCAGCCCUGUUGACACCUAGAUUCAGCCAUCGAGACCAUGUCUGACUUCUAAUUUACAGAACCGUAAGAAAGUAAAUUUGUGUUAUUUCAAGCUGCUAAAUUUGGGGGUAAUUUGUUACAGAAACAAUAGGAAACUAAUACAAGUAUUUACUCUUUGUGUCUGGCGUCUUUCUCACAACAUUUUGUUUGUGCUCUAUAAUAUUCCAUCACAAGAAUACACCACAUUUUAUUCAUUGA